AAGUCGUAACAAGGUUUCCGUAGGUGAACCUGCGGAAGGAUCAUUAUUGAAUAAUCUUGAUGGAUUGUUGCUGGCUCUUCAAAGGAGCAAGUGCACAUCUGUCAUUUUUAUCUUUCCACCAUGUGCACUAUGCAUAGACUUGACAUUUCUGUGAUCAAACUUUGAUUUUGAUUUUUGGAGAUUGCUGUUUGUGAUAACAGCUUUUUCUGUGUUCAAGUUCUAUGAAUUUAUAUACACGCCUAUGCAUGUCAAAGAAUGUUAUAAAGGGUUUUUAAAAUCCUAUAAAGUUAAAUACAACUUUCAACAACGGAUCUCUUGGUUCUG
rnacentral:misc_RNA from 1 species